CUUGCCAAGGCUUGCACCAGAGCGGAGUCUCAGAAGUUGUGCUACCCUUGCCCUGUGGCCAGUGGUGCAAGAGAAGCCCAGAACUGGAGAACUGGAAUGAAACUCCUGAGGAAGAGUGGAUACAUUCCUCUAGAUUCCAAGUCCUCCAAGGGGCUGCCUGUGCUCCGGACCCUCCCUCCUUGCUCCAGCCAGCUUCCUCCUAGUCUGCUAUCUUUUGUGAUCCCUUUUCCUCCCCCUUUCUCUCCCAGACUGUCCAAAUUUCUCCAUAAACACAGAGAAUUUGUGAAAAUGUUGUGCUGUUGGUUGUUAUGGGCAAGGGAGGUGGGAUCCUAGGACCAAGACUCCCAGUGGACGCCUCUACAGGGUCGGCAGAUUCUGGGACAGGUCAGUCACGCCAGCCUGGAGCCUGAUGGUCAUAAGCCCAAAGCCAACCUGGCUAGUCAGAGGGACACACAUAUGCCAGAGACAGACAAUCAUGUUUUGCUGCUUACUGAGAAAGCCAGGUCACAUCUGC
rnacentral:lncRNA from 1 species